rnacentral:rRNA from 1 species
AGUGAACGCUGGCGGUAGGCCUAACACAUGCAAGUCGAACGGCAGCACAGUAAGAGCUUGCUCUUACGGGUGGCGAGUGGCGGACGGGUGAGGAAUACAUCGGAAUCUACUUUUUCGUGGGGGAUAACGUAGGGAAACUUACGCUAAUACCGCAUACGACCUACGGGUGAAAGUAGGGGAUCUUCGGACCUUGCGCGAUUGAAUGAGCCGAUGUCGGAUUAGCUAGUUGGCGGGGUAAAGGCCCACCAAGGCGACGAUCCGUAGCUGGUCUGAGAGGAUGAUCAGCCACACUGGAACUGAGACACGGUCCAGACUCCUACGGGAGGCAGCAGUGGGGAAUAUUGGACAAUGGGCGCAAGCCUGAUCCAGCCAUACCGCGUGGGUGAAGAAGGCCUUCGGGUUGUAAAGCCCUUUUGUUGGGAAAGAAAAGCAGCAGGUUAAUACCCCGCCGUUCUGACGGUACCCAAAGAAUAAGCACCGGCUAACUUCGUG